CCAAGGGCCUCAGUACACAGUGGUUCGCGCAGGACGUUGCAGCUCAGGGCAGGCAAUAUGGAAAGUCACCGGGCAGCUAGGCACAAACUGGGAGCUGGCGGCCAAGAUCUGCUUGAGAGAUCUCUCAGUUUCUUUGCAUAAAUGAAAUUGCCUUUGUAGUUGAUGUGGUCAAAUACUUGCUCUUUUGCACGAUAACUGACUGACACUUAACCCAUGUAUGUGACUGAUAAUCUUUGGAAGUCUGGGUCCUGCUUCCUUUCCGUCUUUCUCUCUCUCCCUCCUUGUGUUAAGAUUACCCACAGACAUUCUAAGCACUUCCUGAUCCUUGGUUUCCAUUGUCAGAGAUCUUGGAAUUCUAUUCAUCUCGGGUUAAAGUCUCUCAUUGGCUUUCUCAUUGACUUCCUUGUGGGAAGCCACACACUCAAACUCACACCACUCUAGUGUGACUGACUGCCUUUACCCAAGGAACCAGGAAACUCCAGAGGAAACAACGGGAUAAAGCUGAUUGUGCAGUUUCCUUCUGUCAAAGAACCGUUCCGGGGUGACAAUUGUAACUGGCAAGGAACAUCCCACUUGAGUUAGCCCCGAACCCUCCUACAUAUGUAGCAGAUGAGCAGCUUAUUCUACAUGUGUCCCCCCCAACAACUGGAGUGAAGGCUGUCCCUGAAUUUGCUGCCUGCCUGUGGAUCCUGUUCCCCUAACUGGGAUGCCUUGUCUGUCCUCAAGGGGAAAGGAUGUGCCCAGUCCUACUGUGACUUGAUGUGCCCAGGGACUGUUUUUCUUAAGGAAUUCCGUAAGUAGAAAGGUAAACAGUUCAAAAUAGCUUCAGGAAGUUCCUGAAACACAGCAGAUUCACUAGGCUCCUCCUUGCCAGAGUGAACAAUAAAACUGACAGUCUGCCUCAGACAGAAAGAAGCUGAGCUGCAAAGAUUGACCCUGGAAGAAGCAGAAACCACCGGAGUUGCCUAGAAGAUAAGACCAGAGUCACUUGGAAAGGACACUGAAGCCUGCUGAGCUCCCUGCAGUGUGCUCCAUGUUCUUAGAUUUUGUGAAUUGUCAUCCAUAAGAGUGGAGUUUUGUGAUGCAGCUAUGUUUGAGUCAUUUCUACUCCUUUAAGUAACCUUUUACCCAUAUUCCUGUGAGUAACCACAAUAAAACUCAUUGGUUUACCAAA